rnacentral:tRNA from 1 species
UUGGGGCCUUAGCUCAGCUGGGAGAGCACCUGCUUUGCAAGCAGGGGGUCGUCGGUUCGAUCCCGACAGGCUCCACCA